CGUAGGCGGACCUUCAAGUCGGGUGUGAAAACCGGCGGCUCAACUGCCGGCCUGCAUUCGAUACUGGAGGUCUUGAGUACAUGAGAGGAAGGCGGAAUUCCAGGUGUAGCGGUGAAAUGCGUAGAUAUCUGGAAGAACACCAGUAGCGAAGGCGGCCUUCUGGCGUGAUACUGACGCUGAAGCGCGAAGGCUAGGGGAGCAAACA
rnacentral:rRNA from 1 species